UACGUAGGCAGCGAGCGUUGUUCGGAGUUACUGGGCGUAAAGGGUGCGCAGGUGGCUGGGUGUGUGAGGCGUGAAAGCCCGGGGCUUAACCCCGGAAUUGCACCUCAAACUACACGGCUAGAGCAUUGGAGAGGGGAGCAGAAUUCACGGUGUGGCAGUGAAAUGCGUAGAUAUCGUGAGGAAUACCAGAGGCGAAGGCGGCUCCCUGGACAAUUGCUGACACUCAGGCACGAAAGCGUGGGGAGCAAAAGGG
rnacentral:rRNA from 1 species